UAUCGGUCCCCUCGCGACGAUAGAUCGUGAACCCGGUCAGGCCCGGAAGGGAGCAGCCGUAACGAUGGACUCGGGCGCCGAGGUGUGGCUGGUAUGG
rnacentral:SRP_RNA from 1 species